UACGUAGGGUGCAAGCGUUAAUCGGAAUUACUGGGCGUAAAGCGUGCGCAGGCGGUUGUGCAAGACCGAUGUGAAAUCCCCGGGCUCAACCUGGGAAUGGCAUUGGUGACUGCACGGCUAGAGUGUGUCAGAGGGGGGUAGAAUUCCACGUGUAGCAGUGAAAUGCGUAGAUAUGCGGAGGAACACCGAUGGCGAAGGCAAUCCCCUGGGCCUGCACUGACGCUCAUGCACGAAAGCGUGGGGAGCAAACAGG
rnacentral:rRNA from 1 species